UGUUGCUGGAUCAGUAGUGAUUGGUUCUGUACCUAGAGUACCAAUAGCAAGGAAUCCAUGGAAAAGCUCUGUAAGAGCAGCUGCUGGUUCUUCUUCGAGCUCCUCCUCUUCGACUCUUGCGGCCUCUAGACAGCUUGCUGGCACCAAUCUCAGUGUGACUUACCAAGUUAACAACAAUGGUCGGCCAUCAAUCAAAUGCCUACACGUUCAAGAAUCACACGCACUAAUGUAUAUGACUCACCAAUAGAAAAAUCCUUUGGUGUUUCAUUGCUGUUCUGCCGGAACUUCCGAUGCAUCCAACCGAGUAGCUGCAGUGAAGAAUAAGGAUGACCUCCAUGAAAUGGCAAACAACGAAAGAUAAAGAGGCAAAGAGACAGAAAAAGAGAGAGUAUAUUUGACCUUCUUAUAUUUUACAUAAAUGAUAUUACCUUCAUUUUCAAUUGUGUUAACAGAGAGCGUGAUAAUAGUGGGUGGAGGAGAUGAUCUUUAAAUAGACUGAGUGUUAUAUAGACUGUUAACCAUGUUGGAAAACCAAUUGAGGGUUGACAUUAAAUUGGAACUAUUGAGAACAUUGAUAAGUACCAAAAUAUUGGUAAGUUUUUCCUUUUCCUUUUAUUUAUUCGAAAUCUCUUUUCAAGUUUGAGAGGCUGAUAUUUUUCGACUCCCAUAUGCAUUUUGUGACAUUUGCAAUUAUUAAUAUUGUCUGUUCGUCUUGCAUGUUUUUACGCAUCUAGACCUACAAUUUGUGUCUGCAUGUGCAUGUAACACAGUUUAUAUCAUUUCCUUCAGUUUAUGGAACUUCUUGUAUGUAAGCGAGUGCAUUCCUCAGAAAAAUUUAUGCACUAGGGGUUCUCCUGACGUAGUAGUAAAUUCUGUGGUUAUAAUUCUUGUGAUCUUUGCUCGGUACUGAUUUUAGCGGCCCUGUGUAGAGAGAAUAAUAUAUGAUGCUAAUAUUUUCAACAAUAAAAUGACAAUUAGGAAGAUCUUUAGUCACAUGAAAUGUUAAACUCGAUAAGCAUUAUGGUUGACAUAGGUCCACCACUGGCAAAAGUUUAUUACUACGAGAACCCCAGCUUCUUAAACAGCUAAUAAUUUAUAAAUGUAGAAGUAUAUUGGUAGCACAGUUGGGAUUGGACUUUUAGUAUCUACCGUUACAUAGAUUUUGGUGUUUCUUAUAAUAUUAAGUGCAAAUGAGAUAACAGUAUAUAGCAGACAGAAGCCAGCAGAUCCAUGUGUGAAUAUCAUUGUUCUUUCAUACCACUACAUAGUUUGUAAUAGAACACUGUUAAUUCUUUUUUCUGAAUAUUUAUGUUGAGUCACCAGCAGGUGAGUGUGAUCGAUCCGUAAUAAUUUAUGUCUAAUUUAAAGGGUUUAAUUAUUGUGAAAUGUAUAACGAUAUUUUCUCUUCUUUUUAUCAAGUGAUUUGUCAUACUGUAGCAUUAUACUGUAGAUAGUACAUUGAUGGUUCUGUGAUCCAAGUAAGCCCAAGUAACUUUUGUGCAGUGAGGUCAUGUUCUUUAUGUUAGUCAAUUUGUUGUUCUGCCCUGUGCGUGCUAUAGUUGUGUAGAUGAAAAAGUGCACAACCAAAGCAGGUCUUUAGCUGUGUUUUGAAUUGUUUAUGCCCCACUUGCACCUUGAUUCACAUGUUGAUCACAUAAUGGUUUUUAUUUUGAGACGAUGUACAGAGGACCCGUUUGGGAAAGAGCAGUAUCCUGCCACAUUCUCCGAGUUAUUCCCCAGAAAAAAUCCAUGUGUUAAGUGGUGUUCUCAUAAUUUCUGAAAGUUUCUUCUAAGGGAGAGAAGAAGAUGAUAAAUACCCUUAUAGACAGUCAAUUUGAUCUUUAAACAUGUUGUCCGAUAUCCAUCCCCCAGUUCUUAACAUUGAAGUAAGACGAGAAAGUAUAAACAGAUGCCCAAGGCUUGAGAUUUAAAAUCCUACCAGUGCUAUAUAUUUUGCUAUACACUUCACCAGGAACUAAGUCCUGUAUUCUCAAUUUCUGUUUUCAGCAAGUUUAUUAUUUAAUAACCCAGAGAUAUCUGCGCAUGCUUUGAAUUUCUAUCAUUAGCUCAUUGUAGUGACCCUUCUGCAAUAAAUAUAGUGCUGCUGAUGAACUCCAAAUAGUCAAUGACUAAUUAUACAGUAUAGUUUUCUUUUCAAGGCAAGAAACAUGGCAAGUACAUCGAAUGUGAUUUAUCAAUAAACAGAUAUACUUUUUCCUGGCUUCAAAUGUUUGUCGCCAUUUGAGAGGAGCCCCCCCGGAUGAAAUUGGCAUAGAAACAAUGAUGAUAUGACAUGUAUAGUGGCCUAGCAAUUUCUGUUCACUAGAGGAGUGGGCACUGCAUGUUGUAGGUCUAUUGUCACAUAUAUUGCAAUCAGGUAAUUGAUCAGACUAGUUGUAGUAACUUUUGUAUUUCUCGAAUGAAUAGGAGUGAUAUGCAGGAGGUAGCAUAUGGAAAAAGCAAUCAGCAUCUGUUUCUCAAUUGUAAAUCCUAUUAUUCUUCUGGUUUAAUUUUUGACUUAAUUGAAUACUACCAGGGUACAGUCUAAAGCUGAUAUUUUCUUAAGAAACAUAGUAAAUCAGUUGUAUUUUUAGAUGAAGAAUGCCCAUUCGGUCUAAUUAUGUUAAGCUGGACAGAAUCUGGAGAUAUGCACUAUGCAGGAAAGGAACAUUACCAAUUUCUAUGUUCCAACAGAAGGAUUGCUGUGAUUUAUGACUUCCUUGCUGAAGUGACUUUCUAUCUGAUUCCAACUUUUAACUUGGUUGAAGAAAUAUCUUAUAAUCAUAAAGGGGUUGGUAAAGUUGAGUGUAAGCCGUAAAGGAUGAUCAUAUAAUAAUUUAAUGAAAGAAGUCAAACUAGACUCAAAGGAAUGACGUGUCAUAUAUAUGUUUUCUUUGGCCAGGAGCUUGGUUGAGUAUUCUUGGUUCUGAUCAUUCAAUUAUGAGUUGUAUUUACAGAGAACAUGAGAAUGAUGUCUUCUUAUCCCUACUGCAUAAGGCGGCAGUCAUCAGUCUCAUUUUCUGUUGCCAUGUACUCUACAGUAAUUUCAGAGUUCGUCUCGUUCCACACUUUCUCUCGCUCUGGUUUUCGAAUGAUCAGGCUCAAUGAAGUCAAAGAUGUUACCCUGUUCAUGCUACUACUUUCAUUGCAGGUAAUUGAAGAUGACAUCGUCAAACUGGAAUUUACAUGUAUAAGGUUUUAAUGUCAUCAAGUGAUUGGCUCUAGCAUGAGUAGGCUUCAAGUGGAAUCUGGCUUGCCUUCUUUGAAGGGUUCAAAAUUAAACACUGCAAAUGGGGAAAUAAGACUUAUGUAACCUUUCUCACGUGCUCAUUCUGAAUGAAUAUACACUCACUGGAGUCUGUCUCGAGUCUUAAACCAUGUGAAAAGCUAGUGGUUGCUCUUUAUCACCUGUGGCUCAAACUGAAUGUCAGGAUACUUGGUGGCUUGCAUAAACACAGGUGGAAAUGGAACCUAGUUACAGCAGUCACUGAGGGAAAAUGGACCAGAUUCCUGGUAUUUGUUCAAUCACUCUACAGCGUCUUGCAUUUAACCCAAGUGAAGGGAAAAAAGGAAAAGGAUAGUUUCAACAGCCAAUUGCGAAAUUUGAUGGUUGAGAUUGGCAAGCACUAUGAAUUUGUGCGUGGUGUGCGUAGGCGUAGCCCACAAAGACCGGUCAGUUUGUACUUUUUGCAUCAACAGAUUUUCCUUUUUUUAUGUGAUUGAAAAGCCAGCUAAGAUCAUCAUGGAUUUUAAUAUCUGGGCUUUCUCUUUGUCCCUAUCCUUGAUUUAAUUUGUAUUCGAUUAAAGGUUGUAAUCAUUCACAUUAUCUUGUAUCCACACUUGGUGCAAAAUCUUUGCCCACCCCAACCCAACCCAUGUGUAGUCUGCAUAUGCCCAUUCAUUCAAUUAUCCCAACUUGUUAUUGCAUAUUUUGCUUUUUAUUAAU